UACAAAAAGACAAAUAUUACAUGACUCCUCCUAAAUGAGGUAUCUAAAGUAAUCAAACUCAUAGAAAAAGAAAACAAAAUGGUAGUUGCCAGAGAUGGGGGGGGAUAGGGAGAAUGAAGAAUUGUUCCAGGAGUACAGUAUUCCACUCAUGCAAGAAGAAAAGUUCUAGGGAUCUGCUGUCCAACUAUACGUAAACACUUAAACAUACUGUACAUUUAAAAAAGAGGGUAGGGUGAUGCCAGGUUCCAUUUGAAAUUUAUUUGCAACCUGCUGGGCACAGAAGCCAUUGUCUCCACAAACACUGGUGUGGUUGAACUGACAGUUAAUGUGUUGUGACCUGGAAUUCACCAUUAAAAGGGUCACCCAAGCAAAGUCCUGGAGUUUAUUUGGUUAUUAAUAUGAUUGUUGGCACAUCCUAUGCAAUAUAUGUAAACUGAAUUAUGCACUGUCUCUUAUACACAACUGA